UGGUAAGACGCUACGGACUUAAAUUUUGAGCCUUAAUAGAGAAAUUUACUAAGUGACUGUUUUCAAAUUCAGGGAAACCUAAGGGAGAUAUGAGGUAAUCCUGAGCCAAAUUUGAAUUAUGAAAUAGGUGCAGAGACUCGAAGGAAACUAUCCUAACGAAAUUUUUUCUCUAUUUUUUUAUUACGAAUAUUAAUUCAGUGCACAGUACAAAAUAUAUUCGAAAUAAUAAAAACAUCUGAAUACUACUAUUCAUAUUAGUUUUUAAAUAAAUUAUAAUAGACGAGGAUAAAGAUAGAGUCCUUUUUUACAAUCUAUAUAAUUUUUAUUUAUAAAUAAUUGUAAAAAGAAAAUCCGUUGGCUUUAAUAGACCUUGAGGGUUCAAGUCCCUCUACCCCCA
rnacentral:tRNA from 1 species